UACGUAGGGUGCGAGCGUUGUCCGGAAUUAUUGGGCGUAAAGAGCUUGUAGGUGGUUUGUCGCGUCUGCUGUGAAAAUCCGAGGCUCAACCUCGGACUUGCAGUGGGUACGGGCAGACUAGAGUGUGGUAGGGGAGACUGGAAUUCCUGGUGUAGCGGUGGAAUGCGCAGAUAUCAGGAAGAACACCGAUGGCGAAGGCAGUUCUCUGGGACGGUACUGACGCUGAGACGCGAAAGCGUGGGGAGCGAACAGG
rnacentral:rRNA from 1 species